AAAGGGUGCAUUCAAGAAAAUGUAAAUUUUUCAAUAAAUGGCGGUAGAGGAGAAACUUUUUCCUGGCAUUUAAUUAUCUUUUUCAUCUCAAAAUGAAAUCAAGAGCUCAUUUACAUCUGGUUGUCUUGUUACUGUAGAGCUCUCAUCAAAAAUUUGAGAAGGAGCCCAACUUGAAAAAACCCUACAAUACCCAGAUUCUGAAAAAAUCUACGUGCAUGUCAUGACCUGCUCUUUAUUAUACUUGUGCUUCCUCUUGACUUGCUCCAGAGCAGCAUUUAGCAAAGCUAAAGUGAUCCCAUCAUUACCACAGAGCAGACAACAAAUCCCCUGGGUUUUCAUCUGUUAAGUAUAUCCAUGGCAUGAUGAGGAGACUGUCUGGAAAGGACAGAGAACUUAGAGAAACAGUGAGAAUAUUUGCAAAAGUACAAGAAAAAUAAUGUUGUUUCAGAGAUGGAAAGACAAUAAAAAACUGUAGGUGUUCUGAAAAAGAGGAGAGUUACUGAUAUGUAAUUAAUAUCUGACUUGGGGCUUUGUUUAACCCCUUCUUGAUCCAGCAAAAAUGUUCUCCUCUCUCCCAGAGUGCAGCCCCAUCAGUCAGACCAUGUGAGCACUGCAGGCCAGGGCUCUGCACUCAGGAAGACAAGAGGGAAUGUAGGUGAGCUGUGCUGAGCCUCAGGUCAGUGCAAACCAGAGCAAAUCCCAUCGUUCAGACCAGUACCACAAACCACACUCUGUGCCCAUGGGGUGCAUGGGGUGCCUGGGAAUGGGAUGCAAGGGGAGCAUGGCAAGGCUUCCUGCAGAGAUGGAACACUCUUAGAAUCACAGAAUUGUUUAGCUUGGAAAGGCUGGCUAAUAUCAAAUCCAAUCAGUGACACAACACUGCCAAGCCCACCACUAAACCAUGUCCCAGGUGCCACAAUUACACCUUUUAUAAUCCCUCCACAGGUGGUGACUCCACACUGCCCUGGGUGGCCUCUGCCACGGCUUGGCCACCCUUUCAGUGAAUAAAUUUUCUUUGAUAUCCCAUCUAAACUUUCCCUUUGAUCAAUUUGAGGCCACUUCCUCCUGUCCUUUGCUUAUUGUUAGUGACUGACCCUGCCUGGCUCCAGCCUCCCAUCAGGUAGAGUGAGCAGAUUCCCCUUGGAGCCUCCCUGUUCUCCAGGCUGAGCUCCUCCAGCUCCAUCAUCAGGCUUGUGCUCCAGACCCUUCCCCAGCUCCACUGCCCUUCUCUGGACAUGCUCCAGCCCCUCAUUGUCGAAUUUGGUGAUCUUAAAUGUGAUCUUUCCAAUCUUAACAAUUCUUAUUCAUCAACAUCUUUCUUGUAGUGAGGGGCCCUACUGCCCAACAAAAAAAGCAUUUACAAAACCACAAUUCAAGAGCAUGUAGAUGGGAAAAGAUAUCUUCCCUGACUUGGCAAACAGCUGUCAAGUGCAUCUGCAGAGGAGUUUUAUCUUUUCUUCAUGAGUGAUGCUCAAGCACAUUAGUUAGUGUUUAGCCCCAAAUGUGUGUUUUGUCAAGCUGAGUUCUCACAUGGGAACACAGACACAAACCAAGAUAUUCCCACUGCAAAUCCCCUUCGCUUAAUGAGAGCACAAAUUUUAUUCAUUUCUAAACAGUCUUCUCUCUUUAUUCAAAAAUCACUCAUUUCUAAAUGGAAAAAAAAAAAAAAAAAAAAAAAAAGCCAGUGAAUUUUUUAACAAAAAGAAAAUCAGGUUUCAAUUUUACAGUGAGUGUGAAGUACCCAAUUUUCACUUUUAUUAAACACUGCAUUUACUUGCACAGCUCUUCUCUUAUCUGGGCUGGUGAGUGACUGGAAAAUCAAGGGUUUGCCUUUUCCAAGGCCAUAUAACCCCUGACAGCAGCUAUUGCCAAUGCCCCAGGUUAGCACUGGGCUCCCUCUCUGGAAUGAGGUGGGAUGCCCUGAACUCUCCCGAGGGACACCUGACAUGGGUGUGUCCUUGCACAGGGACGUAGGGAGUCCCCCAGGAUGGAGUGUCCUCAGCUGCCAACUCUUCCUCUGGUGGAACCACAGACUCGGCUGUGGAGAGUAUGGCUAUGAAAAACUACUCUGCUAGAAGGUGCAAAUAAAAAAUAUCUCCUCUCAAAGCCUUGCUCUGGUUUUUUUCUCACCUGUACAGGCAUUUUUGGGAAAACUGGAGACCAAAAGACCACUCAUGUAUGGAGCUAUCUGGAAACAAAGGCAACAAAGAGCUUGAGAUAGGAAAGGAAAUUGCUUUCCCUGUGUUCCAACCAGGGAACAUUGGCAGGGACAGCAGGGGGUUUCCUGUGUGAUAUACCUUUGUGUUCCCCACUUUGUGCCAGCUGUGCACUGUGGGCUGUGAGCUGAGAGCCAACUUGCAUCCCAGACCAUGGGGUUCUCUGAAUGCCCCUUUUUCUCACUGUGCUGCUGUGCACAGCAGGAAGAUGACCUUGACAAAUUUCCUGAUUGCUGGAGGUGAUGCCCAAGCUUGUCCACUGACACAGCAAACAUCAGGGUGGCUUUAAAACCUGGUGGGAAAAUAGCAUUAGUACUAAUUUACAAGUGGUUAGUUGGUGCUUGAGGUCAAGGUGCUUGAGGUCAAGCUGCUCCACUCUUCUUGGGGAAGCUGGGGUGGGAAAGAACUGGUUCCCCCCCUUUGGCAGCCAAGGCUGGGGCCAAACAAACACCUCAUGGAGGCAACAAGAGAUUUGGGGAAAAUGCCUUCAGUGUUGUGAGAUCAAAGGCAGGGUGUCAGCAAGAGCAAGCAGGUGCUGUCAGAUGUGCAGCCCUGUCCUGGUUUCCAGCACUGUGCUCUCAGCCCCAGGGCCCCAGGUGCCCCAGGUGUCAGGUGGGGACAGACACAGUCCCAGUGAGGGACACGCUGCCAUUCCUGCCACGGCCAGCAACGGAACUGCUUGAGAACAAACUGCCUGUGGUUAGGGCAAUGGAAAAUAUGCAAGAACCUUCUCUUCCCCAGUGCACACUCGCCCUGAGCCUGCUCCACAGCUGGUGCAGGGCUCCUCCUGUGCUUCACACCUUUGGGUCCCAGCACUCCCCAUCGUCCCUCUGUGUGCAGCUCCAUGGACAAGGAGAUUCCAUGGCUUUUAUUCCAACCAUUAAUCCACAUCACCUACAUCAGGGUACACUCCAGAACUCCCUUCAGGACCACCUUGAUGCUGAGCAGAUGCAGGAGAAGCCUCGUCCCCAUAUCAGUGAGGGCAAACAUCUCUAGUUUGGAGAACACUGCUUUCCAUCGUGGUCAAGAAGAAGUGAGGUUCAGUUUGUAACCAGUAUAACCAAGAUGACAAUUACUUUUCCAGACUUCUGAAAACAGAAAUAAUUUAAAUAUUGCAUCAUAUAAGCAACCUGCUUUUCGAGCAUAGGCCUUUCAUUCCUUCCCAAACCAGAUGUGCAGUGGAAGAUGACAGAGGAAAGAGACCACCAAACAAGUGUUUUCUACAGACACAAAGUUUAUCUAGCCUUCAUUGAAAUAAUCUGCUGUAUCCCAGUAGUGAAUGCUGCAAAUUGACAAUGAUUUCCAUGUUUCCCCGACUUUCUGGCAUGCAUAUGGAAGUGUGUUGCUAUAAAACAUAGGCAAGAAUUUCAGACUAAUUAAAGGGAUUUUAUCUGGUUAAAAUCAUAUCUUUCUUUUUUUUUUUUUUAACAGACAUCUCCUUGCCUGUGUGUUCUAAAUAACAUCUUAAUAUUAUUAGAGUUCUACAAAGCUAAUUUACAUCAUGCCGUUUAUUGUCUUCUGUUUAUUUUUGCAUGUCUCCCUGUACAGUCUAGUCAGCCCUACCUUUCUUCCCCAGAACUAGAAAGUGCAAAUCAAUGGCAUUUUCAGACUCUCUCGCCCCAAAGCAGGAGACAGGAUGGAUCAGUGGUUAGAGCACUAGACAGAAAUACAGCUCUGUGCUGCCAGCAUCCCGUGGGAUCCUGGAAAAGGUGCUCACCCGCUCUUUGUCUGUCUUCCCCAGCUGUAAAACACCAUUUUCCUACCUCACAGGGCUGUCCCAAAGCACACAGCAUUUCUUUUGAGUGAGGUAACGAAGUGCAGACAUAGCUCGUAGCCACCUCUGUGCCUACCACCACUGUUUAUCAAAAAAAAGCUACAAAAGGACUGAGGGGAGCUGCCUACUGUAAUUGUAGGCAGGAAUUAAGCUGUAGGUGAAACAUCUGACUUUGAAGAAAGGAGAUACAUGAAAGUGUGCUCGAGUCCCUGGGGUGGAAUGUAAGUACAGCUUUCCCAGCAAACACUCUGCUCCAAAACUGGAGUAACUUUAUUCAGGCAUAAAUACUGUGCUUUAAAUAGCACAGCAGUGCCUUAUCUGCUUAUCUCAGCUAUUAAGGAACCCUUUGUUUCCAGCAGAUUGCCACUGGCCUGAGUGAUGAGCUUGUGACUCCUGUGGUGGUGUUAACCAGAGCAGGAUUCUGCACAGCAGCCAGGGAUUCUUGUUUUUCCUGGUGAAAUCCUCACACGUUGCAGACAGCCUGGCCAGGUCUGCUUUACCUUUUAACCUGGUAUUCCUCAGGGCAGCUCAGGGGUACCCACAAUUGCAUCUGCCAUGGCUCACCACCAAGAAAUUCCAUGACACCUCUUUGACUCUUCCUUUGGGAGCCCAUAACCAUCAUUCCAGCAUGUGUCACUCACAGUGAGUAUUCCUGCUAAUCAUACUGUUAUCCAGCUAUUUGCUUUGAGAGUUUUAUAAAAGAAAAACAACAAAAAAAAGAGAGAACAAUUAUAUUUCACUUUAUGGACAUAUGGACACUUUUCUGUAACAAGACUUUUCCAGAUGUUCCACCCCUUGAAGAUGUAAGCCACAAAAGCACGUUUUAUCAUGACAUAAAUACAAAGCAAGAUGAAAGUCAUGGAACUGCCUGUGUGUUCUUUUCUUAACACAGCUGUAUUUGAGUUGGGUCUUUGCAACUGUCAAGCAUAAAUCAAAUGGGGGAAAACAAUUCUGAGAAGUCAUCCAUUCCUUGACAGAAUCAGUGUUUUCUGUCACAAGC